AUUGAACGCUGGCGGCAGGCCUAACACAUGCAAGUCGGGCGAGCGGCGGACGGGUGAGUUAUGUAUGGGGAUCUGCCUGAUGGAGGGGGAUAACUACUGGAAACGGUAGCUAAUCCCGCAUACCAUAAGAUGAACCCAAGGGGGAUUAGGUAGUUGGUGAGGUAAAGGCUCACCAAGCCGACGAUCUCUAGCUGGUCUGAGAGGAUGAUCGGCCACACUGGGACAGAGACACGGCCCAGACUCCUACGGGAGGCAGCAGGGGGGAAGAGUGCGCAAUGGGGGCAACCUGACGCAGCAUGCCGCGUGAAUGAAGAAGGCCUUCGGGUUGUAAAGUUCUUUCGGUAGCGAGGCGUUAACUACAGAAGAAGCACCGGCUAACUCCGUGCCAGCAGCCGCGGUAAUAC
rnacentral:rRNA from 1 species